GGAUCUUUAGCUCAAUUGGAAUUAGAGCAACAUUCUUCUAAAGUGUAGGUUACUGGUUCGAGUCCAGUAAGGUCCA
rnacentral:tRNA from 1 species